AACGAACGCUGGCGGCGUGCCUAACACAUGCAAGUCGAGCGCGAGGACGACCUUCGGGUCGUUAGUAGAGCGGCGCACGGGUGAGUAACACGUGGGUAAUCUACCCCCGAGAUCGGGAUAACCCAGGGAAACUUGGGCUAAUACCGGAUAAGACCACGCAACGAGAGUUGUGUGGGAAGAGCAGAGGACCUCUUCGGAGGCUUUGUACUCGAGGAUGAGCCCGCGGCCCAUCAGCUGGUUGGCGGGGUAAAGGCCCACCAAGGCUAAGACGGGUAGCGGGUCUGAGAGGAUGAUCAGCCACACUGGAACUGAGACACGGUCCAGACUCCUACGGGAGGCAGCAGUGGGGAAUCUUGCGCAAUGGGGGCAACCCUGACGCAGCAACGCCGCGUGAGUGAUGAAGGUCUUCGGAUCGUAAAGCUCUGUCGGUGGGAACGAUGCUUUCGUUGGCCAAUAUCCAACGGAGGUGACGGUACUCACAAAGGAAGCACCGGCUAACUCUGUGCCAGCCGCCGCCGUAAUAC
rnacentral:rRNA from 1 species